rnacentral:rRNA from 1 species
UACAGAGGGUGCAAGCGUUGUUCGGAAUUAUUAGGCGUAAAGCGCGUGUAGGCGGCUUUGCAAGUCGGGUGUGAAAGCCCUCGGCUCAACCGAGGAAGUGCGCCCGAAACUGCAGAGCUUGAGUGCCGGAGAGGAUGGCGGAAUUCCCCAAGUAGAGGUGAAAUUCGUAGAUAUCGGGAAGAACACCCGUGGCGAAGGCGGUUCUCUGGGACGGUACCGACGCUGAGACGCGAAAGCGUGGGGAGCGAACAGG